rnacentral:rRNA from 1 species
AUUGAACGCUGGCGGCAGGCCUAACACAUGCAAGUCGAACGAGUGGCGGACGGGUGAGUAAUGUCUGGGAAACUGCCUGAUGGAGGGGGAUAACUACUGGAAACGGUAGCUAAUACCGCAUACCAUCGGAUGUGCCCAGAUGGGAUUAGCUAGUAGGUGGGGUAAAGGCUCACCUAGGCGACGAUCCCUAGCUGGUCUGAGAGGAUGACCAGCCACACGGGAACUGAGACACGGUGCAGACUCCUACGGGAGGCAGCAGUGGGGAAGAUGGCAUAAUGGGCGCAAGCCUAAUGCAGCCAUGCGGCGUGUAUGAAGAAGGCCUUCGGGUUGGAAAGUACUUUCAGCGGGGAGGCGUUACCCGCAGAAGAAGCCCCGGCUAACUCCGUGCCAGCCGCCGCGGUAAUUC